rnacentral:rRNA from 1 species
CCCUUAGAUGUCCUGGGCCGCACGCGCGCUACAAUGACUCACUCAGAAAGUUUUUCCUGAUCCGGAGGGAUUCGGGUAAUCUUCAUAGCAUGAGUCGUGUUAGGGAUCGAUCUUUGCAAUUAUAGAUCUUGAACGAGGAAUGCCUAGUAAGUGCAGCUCAUCAGGCUGUACUGAUUACGUCCCUGCCCUUUGUACACACCGCCCGUCGCUCCUACCGAUUGAGUGGUCCGGUGAACCUUCUGGAUUAAGCAGCAAUGCUUGAGAAGUUAGGUAAACCUUAUCACUUAGAGGAAGGAGAAGUCGUAACA